CGACGUGAGGAACCUGCCUUUCAGAGGGGGACAACAGUUGGAAACGACUGCUAAUACCGCAUAAUACGCGGGUGUCGCAUGGCAUCUGCGUCAAAGAUUUAUCGCUGAGAGAUGGCCUCGCGUCUGAUUAGCUAGUUGGUGAGGUAACGGCCCACCAAGGCGACGAUCAGUAGCCGGACUGAGAGGUUGGCCGGCCACAUUGGGACUGAGAUACGGCCCAGACUCCUACGGAAGGCAGCAG
rnacentral:rRNA from 1 species